GAAGUACUCCCUCUGUCCCGAAUUACUUGUCUUAGAUUUGUCUAAUGCAUAUGUAUCUAGACAUGUUUUAGUGUUAGAUAUGUCUGUAUCUAGAAAAAUCUAAAACAAGAAUUUGGGAUGGAGGUAAUACCUU
rnacentral:pre_miRNA from 1 species